CCGGACUAUUCGCGAUUCAAAUGACGCUUUCCCGCCAAGUAAUGGACGCCUAAUGCGGAUAGUAAUAUAACCUCACUUUUUUUGUUUACGUUGCAUUUCGAAGCACCGGCUUGAUUUCAUCGUUUUUUGUUUGGAAGUGUAGUAUAACUUGUGUAGUGGUUUGGUGGAGUCUUAUCUGUGGUGGAGUGUUGUUAAAAUGAUGGAAAACGACUUACGAUUAAGUGUAUCAGAAGUUUGCAAUUAUUUGCAAUCCACACCAGCUUCUCGCAAUUUUGUUGAAGGGGAAGCAGUUUUGAACGCUGGACAUAUUAUUUUAUGUGGGAAAACAGAUGCCGAAGAUGAUUGGAUAAACAUUUUUGCAUUAAGUUUACAAACUUCUGCGUUGAAGAACAAUCCUCAUGAAAUUAAGGGACAAAUUGAAAUGUUGCCCAAUAAUAUUUGCAAAAUUAAGCAAAUGACCUGCACAUGUAAAGCAGGUUUAGGAGGACAGUGCAAACAUAUAUCGGCCGUUCUUCUUCAUUGCACCAGGUUGAACCGUUUCUUUUUUAUUUAUGGCAUUUUAUCAAGCCCGUCAAUUUUCAAUGAUAUAAACAAUUGUGUUAUUUUUAGGGUUUUGGUUUUGCUGUGUGUUGUUUUGUUUCAGGAUAUCAUUCACCAAGUUAGAAAAAGUUUGUAGUUCAAGUUCUUUAGUGAACAUAACUUGUACAGAUGUUUUAAUUGGACCAGUGAGGGAAUGUUGCCAAAAUAUUUAUGACUCGCUACAUAAUUUUGACUACAAAACACUUUGUCACCAAACCUUUUUAUCUAAAGAAUUGUGGUUCAAAGAAAGACAGUUCAGAAUCACCGGUUCAAGGUGUUAUGGGAUCUACACCUAUAACAAGACUGACUGGGAAAAUAAGAGCAUAAAAUAUUUUUGGCCCAAAAAAUUUUCCAAUGAAGCUACACGACAUGGCAUCGAGUGUGAGGUCUUGGCCCGUCAGAUCUACGAAAAAGUUGAAAAGGUGACCGUAAUUCAAUGUGGACUAAUAGUUCCGCCUCAAAGCCCUUUUUUGGCGUACUCUCCUGAUGGAGUAGUGAUGAAAAAUAUGAAACCAUGGAAACUUUUAGAAAUAAAGUGCCCUGUUGCAGGGAAAGAGUCUAGUACGGAAGAUCUAGUAAAAACCUGUGCCUAUUUGGAAAGAAGAAAUGAUGAAAUAACUCUUAAGAGACGGCAUUCAUAUUACGGUCAAGUCCAGUUAGGAAUGGCAAUUUUGAAUGUAACAGAAUGCGAUUUCAUUGUAUUUUCUAAGAAAGAAAACCAUUAUAUUAAUAUUUCAGUUCCUUUUGAUUCAGAAUUUGUAAAGAUUAUGUUAAGAACUUUAAAGUGUAAGUAUUUUAAUAAUAUGAUCCAUUACAUUUGUUGCAGUAAUAAAUAAUAAGCCAGAA